ensembl:snRNA U2 U2 spliceosomal RNA
AUCACUUUUUGGGUCUUUUGACUAAGAUCAAGUAGAUCAUCUAUUCCUAUUAGUUUAUUAUCUGAUAGGUCCUCUACCUAAGGAUUGAAUGUUAAAUAUAUUUUUUUGGAACAGGGAGAUGGAAUAGGAACUUGCUCUGUCCACUUCACAAAUUGAUGUGACAGUGUAAUACUUCUGGAAAUAGUGCAUUUUCC